rnacentral:lncRNA from 1 species
ACCUGAGUGGUCAGUGGACAAGGAAAUAGCAGAUUAUCACCAGGCUUUCCAUGGUUCACAGCAUCCACUCCCCAGGCACUUGGUCUCCUGUGGGCCUGGAAUGUGUUCUGACGCAGCCACUUCAAGUGUCAGCUAAGCCCAUAAGGUGCACAGAGUGUGGAAGGAGGAGGUGAAAUGGAAAAUGUGCAUUGUUCCUAGCUGAUGAGGAACCUGGGAAGUGACCUUACGUCAGGCCCAUUUUCAGAUGAGGAAACUGAAACUUACAGAGGCUGAGUAAUAUGCCCAGGAUCUCACAGAAAAAUGAGUCUGAGUACCUAUCGGGCCAGGAAAGGAUGUGGGGAAACCUCAGAUGCAUACUACUAGGUGAAAAGAAGCCAAUCUGAAAAAGCUACAUGGCAUAGAAGUCCAACUACAAGACACGCUAGAAGACGCAAAACAUGGAGACGGUAAAAGGGUGAGUGUCUGCCAGGAGACAGGAGGAGGGAGGGAAGAGCAGGCAGAGCACAAAAGAUAUUUAGGGCGGUGGAGCUUCUCUAUGAUACUAGAAUGGUGGACGUAUGCACAUCUGUCUAAGCCUGUAGGAUGUAUGGCCCCAGGAGUGAACCCUAAUGUGAAUCAUGAACUUCAGAUGAUUCUCAUGUGUCACUGUAGCUUCGUCAGUUGUAACAAAUGUACCACUCCCUGGGGGGCGCUGAUGUGGGGGAGACGCCGCACAUGUACAGCAGUGAGUGUGUGGGAAAUCUCUGUGCCUUCUGCUCAAUUUUGA